rnacentral:rRNA from 1 species
GACGAACCGUGCGAACGUUAUUCGGAAUCACUGGGCUUAAAGGGCGCGUAGGCGGGCCGACAAGUCAGGGGUGAAAUCCUCCAGCCCAACUGGAGAAGCGCCUUUGAUACUGUCGGCCUCGAGGGGUGCAGGGGCAUGCGGAACUCAGGGUGGAGCGGUGAAAUGCGUAGAUAUCCUGAGGAACACCGGUGGCGAAAGCGGCGUGCUGGACACCUUCUGACGCUGAGGCGCGAAAGCCAGGGGAGCGAACGGG